rnacentral:lncRNA from 1 species
CUCAAAAAAUAAAUAAAUACAUAAAUACAUAAAUAAAUAAAAAGAAAAGAAAACUGACCGCAAAAUGGGCUCUUAUUUUGAGCAUGUACAAAACACAGGUAAGUCUGAUGGUCUCGGUACAUGCGAUACUGUUAACAGUUGGAAGAGGGGAGAAACAUUUCUGGAGGUGCUAACUGAAGUGCUUGAAAUACUUUAUGUUAUUUAAUCCUCAUAACCACACUGAAGCAUCGUUGCCCUAGUUAAGCCUCUUCAGCUAAGACUCUUCAGUUGCAAGAAACAGAAACCCAUUUCAGACAGCUUUAAGCCAAACAACAACAACAAAAACAUUUGUUAUAUGGGCGUAAGGUUAUUUCACAGAACCCAAGAGUGAGAAUGCAGCUGGGUCUUCAAGGCUGACCCAAACCAAGUGCUCCUUGAGGAUCUAAAUAUAUUUUUCAUCUCCUAGAUAAACCAUAUUUCUAUAUGUUAAACUGAAUAUUUCAGAGGAAGUCACUAAUAAUAGGUGUCUCGGGGGCUUCCGUGAAGGUUCAGGGCUCUGGACAUUCCCACUCCACUCCUAUCAGAACAGCUCUGUUUUUAUUUGGUUAAUACAUCAGGAUUCUGCCUAAGAGUUCAUUGAGGAAAUAGCACUACAGCACCUCCUCUGGCCAGAUACUGUGCAAAGAAUUACAAAAUAAAUCACAGACGAGUGGAGAAGAUAGGAAAGUAAAUACACUCUAAAACAAUAAAGGAGUACAGUGACAGAAAAACGCACAGAUUAUUAAGGGAACUCAAAGAAAGUCUAGUAAGCCCAGAAAGGGGUAGGGCUUAUGGGAGGUUUCACGGAGUGGAUACCUGGAAAGGGGAGGUAAGGCAGCUCAAAGGACACUGUUGUUCAACGGAGGGAAGCGGAUUCAACAAUUAUACAAUUCGCUGAGUCGGGGCUUUCACUGCGAAAGAACUUGGCUUCGGAUCCGUGAUCAAGGCUGGGAGCUAUGGAGGUGGAUGUGAUUGGCAAAGACCUCUGCUCAGGUCUGCGUCAAACCUUGCUUCGCUCCCAUCCCAUUCUGCGCCAAUAGGGCGCAGUAUCCCAACCAUUCCACUCGGCUAGGAGGGGAUCCUAAGCCUCAAGGUCCGCAUCUCCCGCUGGAGGGACUGAGCAGCCGCACUGGUGUCCCAGAAUAGAUCGUGUUCCCCAGAGGUUGUCAGGUUCCCGCAAUUCGGCGCGGGCGAGGCGGCCAAAGAGAGGGCGCUCAUUGGCUGCCACAGCCCCGGUCCGAGAGGCCGAAGAAGGCUGAUUCGUCACAGGCCGUCAGCGCGGGCCACGCCUAUUUCCUCUCCAGGUUCUAAUUAGGUCAGGGGCCCUACAGCCUCUUGGGUAGUUUGCAAGUGCGUCGCGGAGCCGGCCUCGGAAAUAUGGCGACAGCUUCAGCUUUCAGUGCCAGCAGGAGCAUAUCACUGUGACUUACAACCCUUCUCUAGUCUGCUACAAUGGAAUCUUAAACAAGAAAAUUUUAUAUUUUGACUUGCAUCAUUGAGAAAAACACUGCCAACCUGAUCGUGGUUCCUUUGAAGAAUCACUGCAGCAGGUGCGAGAGAGGACUCAUGGAGCUUGCAGAUGAGCUAGCCCAGGUAGGACAUCUGAUGUUGGGACCCUCUUCAGAAGUGAAGCAUAUAUAAUCCCACAUGAAAUCUCUCAAGCCAUUCCAGAAGAAUGUUUUCUCAGAUAAAGGUUAUUUACCUAUUUAUAAUAAUUUAUAAUUUACAAAGCAUAUUCAUAUAUAUGAUCCCAUCUAACUCAUAAAAUUAUAUGAAAUGUAUACUAUCUCCAUUUUACAGAUGGGGAAAUUGAGCCUCAGAGUGAUAAAGUAACUUCCCCAAAGUCAUGUAGCUAGUAAAUGAAAGUGAUGAGACUCACACUAGGUUCUUCUAAGUUUUUAGAGUACUUCGUCCACGGCGCCAAGGUGUCUAGGGCAGAGACACCACAACCUCCUAAGAAUAUUUUUCAGACCCUGAACUUGAUGGGUCAGCUGCCACCACGCAGAUGGAUAAAGUGGCUUAUCUGGUACUGUGGCCCCCACUCAGGAACUGACUCAGCGCAAAGAAGACAGCUUCAACUCCCUAUGAUUUCAUCUCCAAUGGGACCAAUCAUCACUCCCCAGUCCCUGGCCUCCUAUGCACCAAAUUAUCCUUAAAAAACCCCAGUCUCUUAAUUGUCAGUCUCUCCAAUCUCUGAAUUUCCAGAAAGAGUUUAAUUCAUGCAGAGGCAGCUGAACUGAUUUGAGUAUGAAUUAAACUCUUUCUCUAUUGCAAUUCCUCUGUCUUGAUGAAUCGGCUUUAUCUGGGCAGUGGGCACAAUGAAUCCUUGGGCGGUUACAAUAAAACUGAAAAUAGAUAAAAACUGUGUGUGGCAAGAUUUAGAUCUAUAAAUUUUGACCUUGGAAAAUAGAACUCCAUAAAAAUAAUGCCCCCAAAAUAAAACUCACAGUAGUAGAAGCUGUUAUAGUAAAAUUUGAAUUGAACAAAAGACUGUUAAAACAGGACUGUGUUGAUAAGUUACACAUAAAUGAAUUCAUCCGGAUCAAAAUAAUUUUAGUAUUUUUACUCAUGACAUUGUAUUCAUGUUUAUUUAUGACAACAUAAAUAGUAAUUUUAUUCACAUGACAAAAUUGGAAAUACUUUAAGUGUGCUAUGUAGAAAACUAAUCAAGGAAUUAAUUUGGGUUAAUGAAAUUAAUUGUUAAAAGUAAUUUCUUGUCAACAACUUUUGUUGCUGGUAUAAUUGUUACAUGCCAGGUUCUGGUCUGUUCUACCUUCAAGCAGUAAAUCAAUCACUAUGAUUCAGGUUUUGCAAAAGAGAAAAGAUUUAUUCGAAAGGACACCCAGCGAGGAGGCGGUGGGAGAACAGCUCUCAAAUCUGCCUCCCCAAAGAUAAAGCUUAAGGGUAUUUAUGGGUUAGGGAAGUGAGGUGGUCUAAGGUGUGGGGAAAGGUGGUUGCUAGUGGGGAAAAAUGAAGUAACAGGUUCAUUCUGCAACAGCCUAGCUGGAGUUUGUGGCAUUCCACAGCACAUAUGUACAGAAAAUGGCAGCAUUAGCAUGGACUGAGGAUGGAGUCUUUGGCCCUCCAACAUAAAAAGGCCGCCUCUCCAGCACUUGAGCAGACCCAGUUAAAAGGUCAGUGGUCUCAACCAGUUUGAACUGGACAGAAGCAGGUCCAAGUUUCUGAAAAACAACUGAAGUAACCGUUACCAUGGUGACCUGUGAAUGUUAUCUAUAAAGUAGCUGGUGAAGGUUACGUUUCAGCAUUCAGUGGCAUGCCCUUCAGUGAUUGCAGACUUCAACUUCAGGGAGAGAUAAAAAAUAACAAAAAGCAAGCAACCAAAAGCAAGCAGGACAGGCAGACCUGACCAAACUAACCCCUCAGUUUUAUAAUUCUAAUUUUAAUGUUUGUAUUCAUUAACACAGAAUCACAGCACUCCCAGGACAAAAGUGAGGGUAAAAAAACUACAAAAUAGUAAUAGCAGGACAAAAACAUCUACUGUUGCUCCAGCACAGAGUAAGCUUUUGAUUAAUGAUUUUUGAGAAAGGAAAUGAAUAUUUAAACAAUGUGAUGUUUGUUAAUCACUUUCUAACUAUAAGCCCACUAACUAAAAUCUGCCUGAAAUUCACUUAUCAAAUCUGCAAUAUUUAAUGCAAGAUUAGAUUGAUUGUUUUAAUCCUCUGAAAGUUUUGCAUUACUUUGGAUACUUUCCCCUUUCUGUUAGUUUUCUUUUGAGCAUUUCAAGGAGUUUUAAAUUCCAAUUUAUCUAUGGAUCCUUCUGCCUUAAUUUCAAGCAAACAAGCAAAUUAUAUACUAUAAUUCAGGAAAUGAGAGUGUUCAGUGUAAGUCAAUCAUACAGAGAAAAAAGGCAACUUUUUCUUCAAGAUUAGAGAAACCACUAUCAUAACAUUUAAUAUUUCUCCAUCAUUUCAUUGAUCCUUCUGCAAAGGAAGAGAACUUUGAGACAUAAAUCCAUCUCUUUCCUUUCUUGGUUUUAUGGAAGCAACUAGAUGCUUGCUUCACACCAUAAUGCUAAGUACAAGUAGUAUAAAAAUUUGAAUAUAUAAAAAACUCACUAAAAAACCUGGAAGGAAAUAUAAUUAAAUACUGAUCUAAAAUUUUGAAUGGAGAACUUCUGAGGCAAAAGUGAUAAGUUAUGAGCCCUCUGUCCCACCCCAAUGUUUUAUUAAGCCUGCAGUGUUUCCUUUGAAGGAUGUUGUAUGUAAUAAUCUGGAUUCUGGAAAAAUUCAGAUCUUGCCACAGUGGGCCUAUUCUUAUCAACAACAAAUUGGAAUUUAGUGGUGUUCCUCCUGUUUGGACAAGCUGCAAGUUCUUCCCAGUUUCAAGACUACCUGUUGCCUUGUAUCGGGCCCACAUCAGCCCCACAUCAGCCCCACAUCAGCCCAUUGUAUUAUCUCUCUGACCAGUGGUGGAGUUUGAGCUUGUGGACUUUGUCUACAUCAUAGAAGAAGUCAUGAAGAGAAAGAUGACAUAUCUGACUAACAUCAAGUGGAAAACUUUGGUAUAUAAAAAUAAGCCACUUCACUUAUUUUUAACAAGUAACUGAUUAGAAAAAUGAGCAAAUACAAGAGUCAACCAUAUAUUAAAUUUAUGAUAUCAAGAGUUCAUCAAAAAUACCAAUAUCUUAAGGGACAAAAGGAUAAGAACUCAAUUGAUAGAAGAGGAAACACCAUCCAAAAGCAUUCAAACUCAUUAGUAACCAAACAAUAGUUUUAAAACAAUUACAUAUGAUUUCUGAUCCAUUAAAUUAAAAAAAUUAAAGUAUAACAUCAAUGCUAAUACUCCAUUGUUGGCUGGAAAGUAGUUUGGCAAUAUGUACCAAAAGCUUUCAAAAUGUUUAUUCCCUUUAAUGUGGAGUCCCUAUACUCACACAGAUCCCAGAGUCCAAGGGCCUGGAUUCAAAUCCAGACUCCUCCAUUUAUCAACGAUGUAAACAGGGGUAAUGUAAACCAGCACAUCUCGAUUUCCUCAUCUCUAAAAUGAGAAUAAUCAUAAUAGUACUUACAUUAUUGGAUUACUGUGAUGAUUAAAUGAAUAAUAGGACUUUUGGGAACAGUGCCUAGCAAACAGUGGUACAAUAUAAGUUUGCUAAAUGAAUAGAUUUAUCUAUUUUAAAAAUUUACUUGAGGAAGCUACCAACUGAGAAAAGGAUUUAUGCAGAAAAUUGUGUAUUAUAGUACUAUUUAUAAUAUUUAUAAUAGCAAAAAAUUAAGAGCUAUAAUAGAGAAUGAUUAGCUAUUUCAUAGAAAAUGAAAUUAAUGAAAUGUGAUGCAGUCAUUAAAAUUAUGUUUAUGAACUUUGUGUAAUAAUGUUGAAAUCAUAAUUUUAAGUGAAAUAAAAAGCAAAAUAUAUACCAGCAUAUUUGGCAUAUUACAAUAAUUAAAUUACAAUAAUUAAAUUUUUAU